AACGCACCUUGCGCUCCUUGGUAUUCCGAGGAGCAUGCCUGUUUGAGUGUCGUGAAAUCAUCAACUCAUUUUACUUUUGUGAAUUGAGCUUGGAUUUGGAAGUUGCUGGCUCUUGAAGCAAGCUCUUCUUGAAUAUAUUAGCUGGAUCUGAUUUGCAGCAUAUAUGCGGUGUGAUAAUGUCUUCACUGUGUAGCUCAAGUCAUUUGGCUUCUAAUCGUCCUUUAAGGACAAUCUUGACUAUCAAGACCUCAAAUCAGGUAGGACUACCCGCUGAACUUAAGC
rnacentral:misc_RNA from 1 species